CCCAAAGUAACACGAAUUCACAAAAAUCUUCACCCUUACUUUAGAGCAACUCAAAUGAGGUACAGCCCAUUUGAUACAGGAUUCAACCUUCACUAACGGGAAGCAUACCAGAUUUUAAAUCUACAAGUAGGCCUAAAAACAGCCACCUUUAAAAAAGCGUCAAACCUUAAAUGUUUUUCAUUUUAAUACACAAAAUCACACUGACCCCUUAAUUUGUACUGAGAACUUCUAUAAUUAUUAUAGAACCUUUUAUGCUAAAACUAGUAAUAAGAGACUCAUCUCUCUAAUAUGUAAGUGUAAGCCGACAAGAACGCAUCAACGGCAGUUAACAGUCUUAAACAAAAGUAGCAACUUCAAUAGAAAACACUACUUAUUUUACAACCCUGUCAACCUUACACUAGAGCAUUUAAAGAAAGAUUAAAAGAAAAAGAAGGAACUCGGCAAAUAUUUAACCCCGCCUGUUUACCAAAAACAUCGCCUCUUGUUUUUACCCAUUAGAGGUCCAGCCUGCCCAGUGACUCUUGUUCAACGGCCGCGGUAUCCUAACCGUGCAAAGGUAGCGUAAUCACUUGUUUUCUAAAUAAAGACCAGUAUGAAAGGCACCACGAGGGCUAUACUG
rnacentral:rRNA from 1 species